rnacentral:rRNA from 1 species
UACAGAGGUCUCAAGCGUUGUUCGGAUUCAUUGGGCGUAAAGGGUGCGUAGGCGGCGGGGUAAGUCAGGGGUGAAAUCCCGGGGCUCAACCCCGGAACUGCCCUUGAAACUGCAGUGCUAGAAUCUUGGAGAGGCGAGUGGAAUUCCGAGUGUAGAGGUGAAAUUCGUAGAUAUUCGGAAGAACACCAGUGGCGAAGGCGACUCGCUGGACAAGUAUUGACGCUGAGGUGCGAAAGCGUGGGGAGCGAACAGG